AACGUAGGAGACAAACGUUAUCCGGAGUUACUGGGCGUAAAGGGCGUGUAGGUGGUUUCGUAAGUCUGGCGUGAAAUUUUUCGGCUUAACCGGGAAAGGUCGUCGGAUACUGCGGAACUAGAGGACGGUAGAGGCGUGUGGAAUUCCGGGUGUAGGUGGUGAAAUGCGUAGAGAUCCGGAGGAACACCAGUGGCGAAGGCGACACGCUGGGCCGUACCUGACACUGAUGCGCGACAGCAUGGGGAGCAAACAGG
rnacentral:rRNA from 1 species